AAUUAGGGAUAGAGAGCGUAAGAGUCGAGCCAAAACAGUUGUCCUAAGUGACCGCCUCUAUUUACUAAAUUAAAUCCUACUCGUUCAUAUCAUCAUUCAAAACUUAAUCUCGGCCUUCCACUCCAAUCAUCGCCCUCUAUAAAUACUACUUCCCUUCAAUGCCAAUCAUCGCCUCUUUUUACAACUGCGCACGGUAACUUUGUUACUCCUUUCGGUCGAGUCUGGUCUCUGAUAAAAAUCUUUUAAAUAAGCGUUCAUUACGUCGAGUAAUUUGCCAUCGCCUCGUCUCUCGAACUGAGUUAUCAUAUAUUUUAAAUCGGAAUUUUGCUUCCAGGCUUGUUGAUUCGAUAGAACUCGUGAUUUGAUUUGUUGUGAAUUUACAUUUGUUCGUCUAUUAUUGGUUUAACCUAAUAUUUUUGGAACUUGUGGUGGUAGAGUUGAAGUAAGCGGAUUUAAAGGAUUUUGGUUUUGGCAGAGUGAAUUUGGGUUGCGGAACUUUUGACAAUCUGCUAAUUGUUUGGUUAUUCCAUUAAAACAUAUGAUCAUGCUAGCACAGAGAUUCAGAGCAGAAAAUUUGUACGACUUCUGCAUCCUUGAAACAUUACCAAAUGGAGAUUCAGUUGGUUGGUUGCCUUCUACUCAGAUGGAUUCUCCUGCCAUUCAGGAUUCCAUCUGAUUGAAACUGGUUUAUGCUUUUUGAUAAGCAUCGAUUUUGAGCACUGUUAGUGCGACCGUUGGGAUUUUGAAUACUGUUAAUCUCAUUAACAAUUUGCGAAUUGUUUGAUUAAGUAUCUCAUGGAGGCGUCUGAAACAUAUCAUCUGCUACGCAGAGAUUAAGAGCAAAAUAUUUAUACAACCUUUUGAGGUUGUUGAUUUCUGCAUCUCUAAAACGAUACUAAAAUGGAGAAUCAGUGUUGGUUGCCUUCUUCUUAGUAGUCCAAAUUCUGACAUGAGGAUGGACUUAUAUUUAUGCUUUUUAAUAAGCAUCCAUUUUGAAUAUUGGGGGAUUCUGAGCAUUGGUUAUGCAAUUCCACUUAAUGGGAGAUUCUGAGCAUUGGUUAUGCAAUUCCAUUAAUCCAUCAACUCGUGCAAAGAUAUAUGGGCAGAGAUUGGAAAAAUUAGUUUUCUUAAAUCUCUUGACAGUAUUUCUCUUUUAUGCUUCUUGAUAGCAAUGGAUUUUAAGUAUUGGUUGUUUGAUUUUUCAGGAUUCCAUAAAGCAAUAUGGAGCAGUAUCGGGUCUAAAAAUUCAUAAUUGGAUUUCUUGAAUCUUUCUUUUGAGAUUCGAAUGGUUGUUAGCGAAUGUGAAUUAACAGGAUGUCAUCAGCUCGUAAAGCAAUUUGUGGGCAAAAUGAUUGCAGAAUGGGUUUUCUUCGACCUCACUUUUUAAGUUACCUUUUCAUAAAUUCUUCACGAUGGCAGAUUUUGAGUGUUGGUUAUGUGAUUUUUCAGGAUCCCAACAGCUUGGGGAGCUAUAUGUGCACUAAAAUUGAAAAAAUGGUUUGGCGUAGAUCUUGAUCACAUUUUCUCUUAAAUUUCUCUAUAAUUUCGUCUUCAUCUUUUAUAGUUGUGGAAUUUGAGUAUUAAUUUUGUAAAUUUCCAAGAUUUCAUCAGCUUAUAAUAGAGGAUCUUUUUGUUAUGAUCAUAAGAGUUUUUGUUUUCUUUUUAUAUCUCUUUGUGUUUAGCAUUAAUUAUAAUUUCCCUUGUACAUAUAUAGAAUAAUUUAAGUUGGUCUAAUUUUGUGUGUUUCCAGGGUUUGGCAAAUUGAACUGAAUUUUCUUUUUUCCUUGCUGUGUUAUUUCCUUCAUCCUUGGGUGGAACUUUGGAAGGCUAUCUUUCUUCCUAUUCUUUUGGGAUUCCCUUCACUCCAAAUUGUUACCAAAGCAUUAUAAUCCUGAAGGAGUUUUAAUUUUUUCUGGGAAUUUAAUUGAUUAAUGUUUAUUUUGCUUUCCAAAUUACAGUUGUAAGUGUACAAAUCAAGUGUGUAUCAUGGUUUUUUUUUUUUUUCUUAGGGUCUUCUUUGAACACUCGAGGACUUUGAUUGGACUCCUCAGCUUUAUUUGUCGCCAUGUCUGGUUUGAAUCACCAUAAUUUUUCUACUCAGUUUUACUUUUAGCUAGUGGCCUAAACAUAGAGAUUAGCCUCUUGAUCGAUUAUCUCUUAGUCUAUUUUCUUAGAAAAUCUUAAAGAUGGUUACUUUAUUUUUCCUGUUGCUUUGCUUGCAGCUUUAAUUGUCUAUCAAUCACUAUGGCUCUAAGAAAUUCUCUAUAAUUUUUUUGGGCUGCUGUUUGCAUUCUUUAGUCCGUGAAUAUAACUAAUUUAAAACUGGAGAUUUGGUUGCUCACUCUAUAGUGGUCUGUUGUUUGUGUCGGGAGUACACACAGACACUGUUAACGGGUGCCCCCGAUUUUUGUAAGUAUUCUAUAAUUAUAAUUUGUGAUUAUAGCUCUUUAGUAGGAGUUUGAGUAUAGAUUGUGUGACGGAAACGGGUGCUUUGAUUUUAUAAAUGUGGACAAACACGGUGGUGAAGAGUAGGAUCUGGGUGCUCUCUUGUCUUGUUUUUUGUUUGUUGUAUGUGUUGGUCUGAGUUCACCAUUAUUACUUCCUAUGCAAAUGGAGAACUCAGUUUGAGAUGGUUUGAUUGUAUGUAUUGUAUGUGUUCUAAGGAUCUCGAGUAUUGAUUGUUUGAUCUUUCAGGAUUCCAUUCCAUAAAGAAACAUAUUCAUAAUGGGAUUUUUGGAUCUUUUUUGAAAUUUUUGUGACUCUUGGCAAAUAUGAUUUAACAGGAUUUCAUCAGUACGUAGAGCUUUUGUGGGCAAAAUGAUUGCAAAAUGGCUUUCUUCGACCUCACUUUCUAAGUUAUAUCUCGAGUAUUGAUUGUUUGAUCUUUCAGGAUUCCAUUCCAUAAAGAAACAUAUUCAUAAUGGGAUUUUUGGAUCUUUUUUGAAAUUUUUGUGACUGUUGGCAAAUAUGAUUUAACAGGAUUUCAUCAGUACGUAGAGCUUUUGUGGGAAAAAUGAUUGCAAAAUGGCUUUCUUCGACCUCACUUUCUAAGUUAUGUUUUGAGUGUUGGUUAAGGAUCCCAACAGCUUGCGGAGAUAUAUGCGCUAAAAUUGAAAAAAUAGGUUGGCGUAGAUCUUGAUCAUAUUUUCUCUUAAAUUUCUCUAUAAUUUCGUGUUCUUUUUUUUAUAGUUGUGGAUUUUGACUAUUAAUUGUGUGAUUUUCCAGGAUUUCAUGGGCUUAUAAUAGAGGACUUUUGCUUUAUGAUCAUAGAGUUUUUUUCGUGUUUAGCAUUAAUUAUAAUUUCCUUUGUCCAUAUAUAGAAUAACUUGAGUUGGUCUGGUUUUAUAUAUUUUCACGAUUUGCUCACACUGGACUGAAUUGAUAUGUGUAAAUCAAGAAAUUCUUUUUUGCCUUACUGUAUUGUUUGCUUCAUUUUUGAGUGGAACUCUAGAAGGCUAUUUUUCACCUCUUCUUUCAGGGUCUCUUCCCUCCAAUCCAUUGUUACUAGAGCAUGAUAAUCCUGAAGGAGCUCCAAUUUUUCUGGGAAUUUGAUUGAUUAAUGUUCAAUUUGCUUUCCAAAUUACGGUUGUAAGUGGACAAAAUAUGUAUCUGUGUAUCGUGUUUUUUGUUUGUUUGUUUAGGGUCUCCAUUGAAUACUCCAACAACAUUAGAAGUAAUAUUGCAGAUUUUUACGGUCUAAUACUUCCAAUCAAGGACAAAUCACGUAGGACCUUUUAUUGUUUCUCUUUUCCUUGCAGAACUUGGCUCUUUCUCGGAAGUUCCUCUUGUUUUGAGCAAACCUGUUUCUUAACUUCAAUUUUGAUUUUUGGUUGCUUCCGUAAUAUUUUUUCUUUUCCAUUCCUCCUCUUUUAGAACUUCUGUUUUCUUGAGUUUGUGUUAUAGUUAUGUCAUUCUCCUUCUCUAUAGUCUUUGGAAAAAAAAUGUAUACUCAAUCUUCACUCCAUUGCUUAAGAAAAAUAUGGACAGACAUUCAGGAGGAACUUUUUAAUGCCUUACCUAUUAUUUCCAAAUUUCUGCUUGAACCAAGAAUUUUAGAAUUCAGCAUACUGUCCAAGGUCUUUUCCAAUAUGUGGAGCUACUGGACAUGACUCGUUGCUAUCCUGUUCUUUUUGCGUGAUCCAGGAUGUUGUUAGUGUUAAUCAGAAACGUACAUUGAAAAUUCACUGUUGUCAAUUAAGGACUGAAAUUGCAAUUUUGAUCAGUAAGUGUCUCUAUUUGUUGAGCUCUGCAUAUGGAGAAGUCCAUUGUUGAGCUUCGAGUCUACUUCCUCUCUUCAUUAAUCUGCUUGGAUUUUCAUAUCUUUCCAAAAGAAUCUCAUCGCCGUUGGAUACAGGUUUUCUGGCUUCCAAAAUCUUUCCUGUUUAAUUGUAUGGUGGCCUUUCGCUUUCUUGUUUUCUUGUUUUCUUGUCCAGCUGUGCUCUGCAUGUUAUUGUUAACUUGCUGAUGGUAAAUCUUCUGUUUGAUGUCGUGCUUGUUUAUAGAUGCAAGACUGCACGCUAAUGUGAAGUAGAGGAUUGUUCCAGUACUUUCUUUUAGAAAAAGGGGAACGGAGGGUGAGUAUGAUCCUGACCGAGACCCUGUUAAAGUUCAUCCUAUCAUCCUGGUUCCCAUAUUUUCUCUAUACUGGUUAUUCAAAAUUGGAGAUCAAUGUGCUCUCCAACUUCUGGAAAUCAUAAAAGGUGCCUAGUUGUAGUCCCGAUUUAUUCUUGCUAUAUAAAGAUUCCCGUCUUGCAAAAGCCAUUAUCUUAUCUAUUCUUGUCUGUUGUAUAUGUAUGUACGUACCUUUGGGUAAAUACUAUCGGUCCCAUGCCUGAAUCAAGCAGGGGUUUUGGAAACAGAAUUGAACUGAAACAAAAUAAAAAUUUAAAUCGAGUUGAAUCGAACUGAGCAGAGUUGGUAUGAUUCUGUUCACUGAUUUUAUUCUUUUACUGUAAUAUAACACUAAUGUUACUUUGUUGGAAGUGGGGUUCUUAACUCAUUCGUUUGUAAAGCUAAGAAAUUGCAGCCCCUAGUCUUGAACCAGGGACACAAUGAAUGAGCUCACUCAUGCUUACCGCCGAGUUCUUACAUACACUGCUCGAAUCAGAGGAUGUAAUGUGAUAGAUUUGGUGCUAGGUAAGAUAUUGUGUAGGUAUGGCUCCUAAAUCUUCCAGUUCUCAUCUGUCUGUUUAUGUGUUUGUAUACAUGCAUGUAACUCCGCUUAUUGUAAAUACAGAGCCGACUCUAAAUUCCAGAUCAAGGAGGAGGGUUGCAAUGUGAGAGGGAACGGAGGGUGAGUAUGAUCCUGACCGAGACCCUGUUAAAGUUCAUCCUAUCAUCCUGGUUCCCAUAUUUUCUCUAUACUGGUUAUUCAAAAUUGGAGAUCAAUGUGCUCUCCAACUUCUGGAAAUCAUAAAAGGUGCCUAGUUGUAGUCCCGAUUUAUUCUUGCUAUAUAAAGAUUCCCGUCUUGCAAAAGCCAUUAUCUUAUCUAUUCUUGUCUGUUGUAUAUGUAUGUACGUACCUUUGGGUAAAUACUAUCGGUCCCAUGCCUGAAUCAAGCAGGGGUUUUGGAAACAGAAUUGAACUGAAACAAAAUAAAAAUUUAAAUCGAGUUGAAUCGAACUGAGCAGAGUUGGUAUGAUUCUGUUCACUGAUUUUAUUCUUUUACUGUAAUAUAACACUAAUGUUACUUUGUUGGAAGUGGGGUUCUUAACUCAUUCGUUUGUAAAGCUAAGAAAUUGCAGCCCCUAGUCUUGAACCAGGGACACAAUGAAUGAGCUCACUCAUGCUUACCGCCGAGUUCUUACAUACACUGCUCGAAUCAGAGGAUGUAAUGUGAUAGAUUUGGUGCUAGGUAAGAUAUUGUGUAGAGCCGACUCUAAAUUCCAGAUCAAGGAGGAGGGUUGCAAUGUGAGAGCAUUGCCCAAUCCUUGCGGCAAGUUUGGCCAUCAUUUUAAUGUGUUUGCAUUUUUUAUAUGAAGUUGUUCUUGAGCUGUAAUAAUGCUAAAUCAGUCAGCUUGCCAAGUCAGCAAUGGAAUUGAUAUACCAGUUAUACUGCCUACAAAAGCAGGAGUGUCUAACGGAAAUGAGUAUUAGAGAAGGAAUUUCAACUGAGAAGAUUGGUUGUUAGCUUAUUUUGUCAUUUUGCUAGUUGGUUAUUUUCCUUGCUCCUUUGUUUGCUAUUCUAUUUUGUCUGUCUUGGAUGUCAUAAUGAGUCGCAAUAUUUCAGGAUGAUUCUAGCAAUGAUUGGGACCUAUAUAGUAGGAAGUUAUUGAUUAGUGAUCAUCAGACAAUUAUCAAUAAUCAUUAUUAUACUCCAUAUUCUCUUUA